GGUUAAGCGACUAAGCGUACACGGUGGAUGCCCUGGCAGUCAGAGGCGAUGAAGGACGUGCUAAUCUGCGAUAAGCGUCGGUAAGGUGAUAUGAACCGUUAUAACCGGCGAUUUCCGAAUGGGGAAACCCAGUGUGAUUCGUCACACUAUCAUUAACUGAAUCCAUAGGUUAAUGAGGCGAACCGGGGGAACUGAAACAUCUAAGUACCCCGAGGAAAAGAAAUCAACCGAGAUUCCCCCAGUAGCGGCGAGCGAACGGGGAGCAGCCCAGAGCCUGAAUCAGUGUGUGUGUUAGUGGAAGCGUCUGGAAAGGCGUGCGAUACAGGGUGACAGCCCCGUACACAAAAAUGCACAUACUGUGAGCUCGAUGAGUAGGGCGGGACACGUGGUAUCCUGUCUGAAUAUGGGGGGACCAUCCUCCAAGGCUAAAUACUCCUGACUGACCGAUAGUGAACCAGUACCGUGAGGGAAAGGCGAAAAGAACCCCGGCGAGGGGAGUGAAAAAGAACCUGAAACCGUGUACGUACAAGCAGUGGGAGCACGCUUAGGCGUGUGACUGCGUACCUUUUGUAUAAUGGGUCAGCGACUUAUAUUCUGUAGCAAGGUUAACCGAAUAGGGGAGCCGAAGGGAAACCGAGUCUUAACUGGGCGUUAAGUUGCAGGGUAUAGACCCGAAACCCGGUGAUCUAGCCAUGGGCAGGUUGAAGGUUGGGUAACACUAACUGGAGGACCGAACCGACUAAUGUUGAAAAAUUAGCGGAUGACUUGUGGCUGGGGGUGAAAGGCCAAUCAAACCGGGAGAUAGCUGGUUCUCCCCGAAAGCUAUUUAGGUAGCGCCUCGUGAAUUCAUCUCCGGGGGUAGAGCACUGUUUCGGCAAGGGGGUCAUCCCGACUUACCAACCCGAUGCAAACUGCGAAUACCGGAGAAUGUUAUCACGGGAGACACACGGCGGGUGCUAACGUCCGUCGUGAAGAGGGAAACAACCCAGACCGCCAGCUAAGGUCCCAAAGUCAUGGUUAAGUGGGAAACGAUGUGGGAAGGCCCAGACAGCCAGGAUGUUGGCUUAGAAGCAGCCAUCAUUUAAAGAAAGCGUAAUAGCUCACUGGUCGAGUCGGCCUGCGCGGAAGAUGUAACGGGGCUAAACCAUGCACCGAAGCUGCGGCAGCGACGCUUAUGCGUUGUUGGGUAGGGGAGCGUUCUGUAAGCCUGUGAAGGUGUGCUGUGAGGUAUGCUGGAGGUAUCAGAAGUGCGAAUGCUGACAUAAGUAACGAUAAAG
rnacentral:rRNA from 1 species